rnacentral:lncRNA from 1 species
UCUGGGCUUGUUGGGCUUUGCCUUUUGUCCAGUCCUCCGUUUCACCCCGCAGGUUCCAUCUGGCAUUUAGAUAUUAGAAAUAGCUGCAAGUGAGGGUGUGACUUGGGUGGAGACCUGGAGCCUGUACUCCACCCUGAAAAGGAAAAAAAAAAAAAGCUUAUUUAAUUCAUUUCUGUACUUGGAAGCCUCUAGCUAUUUAGAAUGCCAAUUAGGCAGAGGCUGUUGGAUUUGUUUUUUUUUUUUCUUUCCCUAUCCCAAGACGGCCUGUCUGAUUUUCUGUGCCUGUUGACUUAAGCUCUUACAGGAGGUUGGGUGGGGCGGGCGUGGCGCGCCCACAGCUGCUUUGAACGUGGCCUGGCUGAGCUUUGCUGACUUUCGAGUCCAUUCCAUCAUUUAUCGAACAACAAUAAGAAGAUGAGAUUCAAAGGAAUUCCACAGUGUUCUUCAGAUUCUAUCAGUUGUAGGACACUUCAGGUAUACAAAGACGGCUGGCUACCCUUUAUUUCUCCAAAGUCCAUCCUUGCUUGGCAUGAUGGCAAAGGAAAAUGAACAUGAGGCCCACCUAGUGCAGCAUUUUAGAUCUAACUUGGUACCCAAUUGAGGAAACAAUCUGAACUUCACAAAUCCCAAGUCGGCAACCACGUGCCAAGCCUGCCAGCACCCAUGAUGAACUAUGGCUUUGUCAGCUGUCUUGGGCCAUUUGGUGUUGCUACAAAGGAACACCUGAGGCUGUGUAAUUUCUAAAGAAAAGAAGUUAUGUGGUGCAUGGCUUAGCAAGCUCUAUAAGAAACAUGGCGCCAACUCCUACCUCUGAUGAGGUCCUUUGGUUGCUUCCCUUCAUGGCAGAAGGCAGAGCGGAGCCAGCGUGUGCAAAAGCCACAUAGCAAGAGAGGAAGCAAGGGGAGGGAGGUGCAGGCUCUUUUUAACAAUCAGCCCUCAAGGAAACUAAAAGAAUGAGAAUUCACUCACCACCCUCCCCCAGGGAGAGCAUCAACCUAUCCACAAGAGACCCAUCCCCAUGACCCAAACACCUCCCAUUUGGCCCACCUCCAACAUUGGGGAUCAAGUUUCAACAUGAGAUUUGGAGGAGACAAGCAUCCAAACUAUAGCACCCACCUUCAGGAGCUGGGCAUGUAAUACUCAGGAGAAGGUCAACUGCAAGCCACACCCCUGGGAAGAGGCACACCCUCUUAUGUAAUGCAACAGCCACAGCCUCCGGACUUCAUUCCUAUCUCAUAUCCAGAGUUUAAGUGCAGCAGAGGAGUAAAACCUGACUCUAGAAGCUUAAGUGCUUUCCAGGUGUUAAUACUGCCUUGCAGAAUGCCUUGGGAGAGCUCAAUUGUACAUUACAUUCCUUAUGAACACAGUUCCUGUGUGUCAUGCUCCUUAGAGGGUAUCUGAUGAGAGAAGCUUACUGCUGGCAGGUGCUGUAGGAAUCCCUUUCUUCAGACAGGACCUUGCCUUGGGUCCUCCAUGGCCUGUGAAAGUCUUCAAGGGUCUAACCUCUUGUUCUCUCUUUUAUGUGCCUCCCUCUCCCCAACUUGAGAGAGUCUCACUAUAACCCCAGAACACCAUUCAAUUUCCACUUCAUUGUAGACUGAGUCUUUAUUACCAGAUGUCAAGGUGUUUUUUACUGAAGCAUCAACGUCACUUUUUCAGACAGAUGGUCUUUUAAAACCCCAAGGCAGGGAGAAGUAUGGAAAAGCUGUAUCUACAGAGAGGUGAUUUCAUUCUUAACUUAUGUUUUUCUUCAUUAGAUGCCAAAGAAAUACUUCUUGAACUCAUGAUCUCCACUGCUACCAUAUUGGUUCAGGCCACCAUUCUCUUUGGGCUGGACCAGUGCAAUCUUUUUCAAUGGUUUUAUUUGCUUCCAGCCCUUCUCCAACCAUACUCAUCCAGGUGAUCGAAACACACACACACACACACACACACACCUGACCUUGUCCCUCCCCACCACUGCUGAACUCCACCUACUUUCAGUCCUGCAAUGACACUGGCUGUCUUUCAGAUUCCCAAAUCUGCACAAACCCAUUCCUUCCUCUGUCAGAGCCUUUGUCUGGACUGCUUCUCCUGCCUUUCCUUCUUUGAAAUUGACUCCUUUAACUUCAGAUCUCAGCUCAAGCAUCGCUUCCUGUAAAAGCGUUUCACAAACUCCAGGCUAGAACAAUUUCCUUGCAAUAUGUUCUUUUAACACUUGGUAGUUUCUUUCCAUUUCAUUGAUCAGAAUGACUGCUUAUAUAUUUUUCUGGGUGACUACUUGAUUAAUGUCUGUCUUUUCACUAGAUUAUAAGUGACAUGAGAAUAAGGACUGUGCCCAUUUUGGUCACCAUUAUAUCCUUAAUACCUAGCACAGAGCCCAACACAAAAAUGCGUUAUUAAUAGAUAUUUGUCAAAUACUUUUACUUGAAUAGAUAUGUGAACUUGGCUCCCAGGAGUUUAUCAUCAGCUAGGAGAGAAAAAGAUUGCUCUUUAUUCCCCAAAGCCCUUUUCAAAUGUCAUCCUCAUCGUGAGGUUUCCCUGUGCAAUCCCCUUUCCUCCUCUCCACCCCUGGACAGAAUAACCUUCUUCCAGCGCAGGCCCCAGCAUGCUCUGUUGUUCCUUAGUAUUCCCUUCUUGGGCUUUUGGAAGAAGACUGGUCUGCCUUCAUCCAAAUCUUUCAACUGGACAGAUCCACCUGGAUACCUGCAUCAGUUUCUUAGGGCUGCCAAUAUAAAGUACCAGAAACUGGGUGGCUUUAAACAACAAUUCACCAUCUCACAGUUCAGGAGGUUAGAAGUCUGAAAUUGGAAAGUCCGCAGGGCCAUGCCCCCUCUGAAGCCUGUUAGGGAGAAUCCUUCUGACAUCUUCUAGCUUCUGGAGUUUGCUGCCAAUCUUUGAUAUUUCUUGGCCUGUAGGUGCAUCACUCCAAUCUCUGCCUCCAUGAUCACAUGACUGUCUUCUUAUAAGGACACCAGUCAUAUUAAGGCCCACACUACUCCAAGAGGACCUCAUUUUAACAAACUAUAUCUGCAACUCCCCUACUUCCAAAUAAGGUCACAUCUUGAGACAUUGAGGAUUGUGACUUGAAUACAUCUUUUGGGAGGACACAGUUCAACACAUAGCAAUAGGCAGUGGGUAACUCAAACUCACCAGAUCUCAAAUUGGCCUCCAUGUCUUUUCCCCGGACUCACUCAUUUUCCUGUACUCCUUAUCCUGAUUGGGGGCACUAGGCCCUAAAGCAGAAACCUGGAAGUCAUUCUAUUCUUCUCCUUCUUUUAUAUCUACAUAGUCAUGAUGUUCUAACAAGUAUCUCUUUAAGAGUUCUCAUAUUCAUCCCCCAAAUCCCUGUUUUAGUUUCUUCAUCAUUUUUAACCUAUGCAACUAUAAGAAUCAAACUAGUUUUUCUAUCUCUUGUUUCAACCCCCUCUAACUCAUUCUCUGCAUUGCUGCAUGAGACUUUUUUUUUUUUUUUUUUUUUUUUUUUGAGAUGGAGUCUCGCUCUGUCGCCCAGGCUGGAGUGCAAUGACGCGAUCUCGGCUCACUGCAACCUCCACCUCCCAGGUUCAAGUGACUCUCUCGUCUCAGCCUCCCAAGUAGCUGGGACUAUAGGUGCCCGCCACCAUGCCUAGCUAAUUUUUGUGUUUUUAGUAGAGACAGGGUUUCACCAUGUUAGCCAGGCUGGUCUCCAACUCCUGACCUCAGGUGAUCCGCCCACCUCGGCCUCCCAAAGUGCUGGGAUUACAGGCGUGAGCCACCGUGCCUGGCUGAGACAUUUUUAAAACACAAGUAUUACCAUGAUACCAUGUUUAGAACUCUUCUCAAGCUCUGCUCUGCACAUAAGGUGGUCCAAAUUCCUAUGCAGAGCACAUGAGAUUUCAUCAUCUCAUCCCUACUUUUCCGAGCUCCUCUUUAGACAUUUCCUCUUGCAAUCUCUUCUCCAGUCAUUGUGAACCAUUCACAGUUCCCUAAACCCAGGAAACAGUUUCAUGCCUUGUGCUUGUAGCAGAGACAUUUAUUACUCAUGGAAUAGCCAUGUGUUCCUGUACAUUUUGCAACUCCGGGAGGCAUGUGAUUAGUUCUGGCCAAUGGGCUGUGGAUGAAAAUUUUAUGUGUCACCUCUGAGCUGAAGCAUUGAAGAGCCAGUGUGCUAAAUUCCAGCUUUUUUUGUUUUCCUGCAAUGCCAGCUUACAAACCACAUGUUCCAGGUGGUACAGCUGGACCCUCUAGCUUGGGUCCCCAAGUGACUGUGUGGAGCAGGGCCCUGCUCCUUACUCCUCCUGUCCAGCUGACCUGAUUAGGCAGGUGACCUGAGUGAGAAAUAAACUUCAGCUAUCUUCAGCUACGAAGGCUUCAGGGUCAUAUUAUUACCAAAGCAUAACCUAGGCUUUCCUGACUCAUGCUUUUGUACAAGCUCUUCCCUUUGCCUAACAUGACCCCCUUCAGCUGCCUGGGAAAGUCUUACUGAUCAUUCCAGCCCCAUUGAUCUUCUCUUCUGUGAAACCUGAUCUGAGUCAUUGCAAAAGAAAGCUAACUACUUCCUCCUGUGCUCCCAUGGCAACUUGUAAACAAUGCUGACAUCAUCCUCAUCGCUGGUUAUCAUAACAAUUUAAUAUCCAUCAAUUCAUAUGGUACUAGAUCAUGGGUGCAUUGAGGGCAGGGACUGUGUGUCCAUCCAGCUAUCAAAUUUGUAUCUCCAGCACCCCACAGAAGGAUUUGCAUACAGACGAUACCCAAUCCAAUGAAUGAUGAAUGAAUAAAAAACUGACUAAAUGUAAUCUGUACAGAAUAGGCUUUUGGCUGAGCAUGAUGGGGGAGGUCUGGGUCAUACAGUGAAAACACUGUAUGGGACUCUAUAGUUUGCAGACAUUAGAAGACAAUAAUUGCCAUUUUGAGCUUAUGUUGAAUUCAUAUUGGCCUGUAUAAUGUGUAUUACUAUAGAAAAUAAAACUUUCAUACAUACAAUCAGGAAGG